GGCAUCGAUGAAGAACGCAGCGAAAUGCGAUAAGUAAUGUGAAUUGCAGAAUUCAGUGAAUCAUCGAAUCUUUGAACGCACAUUGCGCCUUCUGGUAUUCCGGGGGGCAUGCCUGUUCGAGCGUCAUUACAACCCUCAAGCUCUGCUUGGUAUUGGGCUCGCCCUGUAGGGCUUGCCUCAAAGUCAGUGGCGGCUACCGUCCGACCUUCAGCGCAGUACUAUCCGUCGCUGUUAGGGAAGGCCUAUAACCCGUCAUCACAACCCCCACUUUACAAGGUUGACCUCGGAUCAGGUAGGGAUACCCGCUGAACUUAAGCAUAUCAAUAAGCGGAGGAAAAGAAACCAACAGGGAUUGCCUCAGUAACGGCGAGUGAAGCGGCAAAAGCUCAAAUUUGAAAGCUGGCUCCUUCGGGGCCCGCGUUGUAAUUUGUAGAGGAUGCUUCGGGCGCGGCUCCGGUCUAAGUUCUCUGGAACGAGACGUCAUAGAGGGUGAGAAUCCCGUAUGUGACCGGCUGCCUGUGCCCAUGUGAAGCUCCUUCGACGAGUCGAGUUGUUUGGGAAUGCAGCUCAAAAUGGGAGGUGUACUCCUUCUAAAGCUAAAUAUUGGCCAGAGACCGAUAGCGCACAAGUAGAGUGAUCGAAAGAUGAAAAGCACUUUGGAAAGAGAGUUAAACAGUACGUGAAAUUGUUGAAAGGGAAGCGCUUGCAAUCAGACUUGCGCGGCGUCGAUCAACCUGGGUUCUCCCUGGUGCACUCGGCGCCGCUCAGGCCAGCAUCAGUUUCGGCGGUGGGAUAAAGGCUGAGGGAACGUGGGUCACCUCGGUGACCGUUAUAGCCCUCGGUGCAAUGCCGCCUGCCGGGACUGAGGACCGC
rnacentral:rRNA from 1 species